rnacentral:rRNA from 1 species
GAUGAACGCUGGCGGCGUGCUUAACACAUGCAAGUCGAACGGAAAGGCGCCGGCUUGCAGGGGUACUCGAGUGGCGAACGGGGGAGUAACACGUGGGUGAUCUGCCCUGCACUUCGGGAUAAGCCUGGGAAAAUGGGGCUAAUACCGGAGAGGACCACAUGUAGGAUGGGGUGGUGGAAAGUUUUUCGGUGUGGGAUGAGCUCGCGGCCUAUCAGCUUGUUGGUGGGGUAAUGGCAUACCAAGGCGGCGACGGGGAGCCGGCAUGGGAGGGUGUGCGGGCACCUUGCGCCUGCGGUACGCCCCAGUCUCCAACGUGCGGCAACAGUGGGGAAUCUUGCGGAGUGGGGGCACGCCUGAUGCAGCGACGCCGCGUGGGUGAUGCCGGCCUUCUGGUUGUAAACUCCUUUCGCUGGAGCCGAGGCGCAAGUGACGGUACCUGGAGAAGAAGCACCGGCUAACUACGUG